CUCUCUAAUGCAAAGGCCCUAUGGGCCCAAUCCCGAAAACAAAUGGGCUAUCCCCUCUCUGCUAGGAGCGUGGACCGCCAUACGUAGCAUAGUAUCCGGGAGAAGGGGGGAUAGAGAUGAAAUGUUAAUCGCAUUUGUUGAUAGCUGGUUUCAAGCCGAAAGGCAUUCAAGUGCCUCCCCUCUAGGAAAAUUGAGGGGUCUACGCCCUUCGGGAUAAGCUGAAGGGUGAAAUAAAUAAGGCUAUGCGUGAGGCACCGUAAACCUGAAUGGCUAACGUAGGCUUAAUAAUUGCCACCGUAGUUACAUGUCUGUUGCAAGAUAGGCGUAUUUUAGGGAUAAUUCUGGGCUAGCAAGCAGUAUAGUAGGCUGAAGCAAGGGUGAACGAUAGUACCCCUAGGUUACACUGAGAGCAUGAGUAAAAUAGUGCGUACAAUGUACAGUUGAAAACAAGUUGGGGUAAGGAACUCGGCAAAUGGGGCUACGACUGUUUAACAAAAACAUAGCCUUUAGUAAACAUUAAAGGUGACGUCUGCCCAGUGAUCAAAAUUGAUUUAACGGCCGCGGAUGACGUGCUAAGGUAGCGUAAUCACUUGUCUCUUUAUUGGGGACCUGUAUGAAAGGCAUUACGAUAGCCCCACUGUCUCACCCCAACCCUUUGAAGUUGACUUGUAGGUGAAAAGGCCYACAUAUAGUCGGAGGACAAGAAGACCCUAUAGAGUUUUAGCGGAGAUGGCCCCAUCAAGAGGGCACAUUGUAAGGUAGACCUACCGGGGGGGUUAUUACGCUUUAAUUGGGGCAAUUAAGGAACAUAGCAAAAUUCCUGGAAUAAGCAAUCACGUUAGYGAUCUAGUUGAUCCCUGAAGGGAAUCGAGAAUAAACUACCUUAGGGAUAACAGCGUAAUCCUAUCUAAGAGAUCUAAUCGCAGGUAGGGUUUGCGACCUCGAUGUUGGA
rnacentral:rRNA from 1 species